AGAGUUUGAUCCUGGCUCAGAUUGAACGCUGGCGGUAGGCUUAACACAUGCAAGUCGAGCGAGAAAGUAUCUUCGGAUAUGAGUAGAGCGGCGGACGGGUGAGUAACGCGUAGGAAUCUACCUAGUAGAAGGGGAUAGCCCGGGGAAACUCGGAUUAAUACCGUAUACCUCCUAAGGGAGAAAGAGGGCCUCUCUUGAUGCUCUCGCUAUUAGAUGAGCCUGCGUAAGAUUAGCUUGUUGGUAAGGUAAUGGCUUACCAAGGCUACGAUCUUUAGCUGGUCUGAGAGGACGAUCAGCCACAUUGGGACUGAGACACGGCCCAGACUCCUACGGGAGGCAGCAGUGGGGAAUAUUGGACAAUGGGCGCAAGCCUGAUCCAGCCAUACCGCGUGUGUGAAGAAGGCCUUCGGGUUGUAAAGCACUUUAAGCAGGGAGAAAAAGUUAUAGUGCCAGCAGCCGCGGUAAUACGGAAGGUGCAAGCGUUAAUCGGAAUUACUGGGCGUAAAGCGCGCGUAGGUGGUUUGUUAAGUUGGAUGUGAAAGCCCUGGGCUCAACCUAGGAACUGCAUCCAAAACUAACUCACUAGAGUACGAUAGAGGGAGGUAGAAUUCAUAGUGUAGCGGUGGAGUGCGUAGAUAUUAUGAAGAAUACCAGUGGCGAAGGCGGCCUCCUGGAUCUGUACUGACACUGAGGUGCGAAAGCGUGGGUAGCGAACAGGAUUAGAUACCCUGGUAGUCCACGCCGUAAACGAUGACAACUAGCUGUUGGGAGACAAUGUCUUUCAGUGGCGCAGCUAACGUUUUAAGUUGUCCGCCUGGGGAGUACGGCCGC
rnacentral:rRNA from 1 species